UGUAGGGAUGGAUGACUAGUCAAGAU
rnacentral:piRNA from 1 species